rnacentral:rRNA from 1 species
ACGAGUGGCGGACGGGUGAGUAAUGUCUGGGAAACUGCCUGAUGGAGGGGGAUAACUACUGGAAACGGUAGCUAAUACCGCAUAACGUCGCAAGACCAAAGAGGGGGACCUUCGGGCCUCUUGCCAUCGGAUGUGCCCAGAUGGGAUUAGCUAGUAGGUGGGGUAAAGGCUCACCUAGGCGACGAUCCCUAGCUGGUCUGAGAGGAUGACCAGCCACACUGGAACUGAGACACGGUCCAGACUCCUACGGGAGGCAGCAGUGGGGAAUAUUGCACAAUGGGCGCAAGCCUGAUGCAGCCAUGCCGCGUGUAUGAAGAAGGCCUUCGGGUUGUAAAGUACUUUCAGCGGGGAGGAAGGGAGUAAAGUUAAUACCUUUGCUCAUUGACGUUACCCGCAGAAGAAGCACCGGCUAACUCCGUGCCAGCAGCCGCGGUAAUACGGAGGGUGCAAGCGUUAAUCGGAAUUACUGGGCGUAAAGCGCACGCAGGCGGUUUGUUAAGUCAGAUGUGAAAUCCCCGGGCUCAACCUGGGAACUGCAUCUGAUACUGGCAAGCUUGAGUCUCGUAGAGGGGGGUAGAAUUCCAGGUGUAGCGGUGAAAUGCGUAGAGAUCUGGAGGAAUACCGGUGGCGAAGGCGGCCCCCUGGACGAAGACUGACGCUCAGGUGCGAAAGCGUGGGGAGCAAACAGGAUUAGAUACCCUGGUAGUCCACGCCGUAAACGAUGUCGACUUGGAGGUUGUGCCCUUGAGGCGUGGCUUCCGGAGCUAACGCGUUAAGUCGACCGCCUGGGGAGUACGGCCGCAAGGUUAAAACUCAAAUGAAUUGACGGGGGCCCGCACAAGCGGUGGAGCAUGUGGUUUAAUUCGAUGCAACGCGAAGAACCUUACCUGGUCUUGACAUCCACGGAAGUUUUCAGAGAUGAGAAUGUGCCUUCGGGAACCGUGAGACAGGUGCUGCAUGGCUGUCGUCAGCUCGUGUUGUGAAAUGUUGGGUUAAGUCCCGCAACGAGCGCAACCCUUAUCCUUUGUUGCCAGCGGUCCGGCCGGGAACUCAAAGGAGACUGCCAGUGAUAAACUGGAGGAAGGUGGGGAUGACGU